rnacentral:rRNA from 1 species
UGCUUGCACUGGUCAAUCUAGUGGCGAGCGGGUGAGUAACACGUGGGUAACCUGCCCAUCAGAGGGGGAUAACAUUCGGAAACGGAUGCUAAAACCGCAUAGGUCUUCGAACCGCAUGGUUUGAAGAGGAAAAGAGGCGCAAGCUUCUGCUGAUGGAUGGACCCGCGGUGCAUUAGCUAGUUGGUGAGGUAACGGCUCACCAAGGCCGUGAUGCAUAGCCGACCUGAGAGGGUGAUCGGCCACAUUGGGACUGAGACACGGCCCAAACUCCUACGGGAGGCAGCAGUAGGGAAUCUUCCGCAAUGGACGCAAGUCUGACGGAGCAACGCCGCGUGAGUGAAGAAGGUUUUCGGAUCGUAAAACUCUGUUGUUAGAGAAGAACAAGUGCUAGAGUAACCGUUAGCGCCUUGACGGUAUCUAACCAGAAAGCCACGGCUAACUACGUGCCAGCAGCCGCGGUAAUACGUAGGUGGCAAGCGUUGUCCGGAUUUAUUGGGCGUAAAGCGAGCGCAGGCGGUUCCUUAAGUCUGAUGUGAAAGCCCCCGGCUCAACCGGGGAGGGUCAUUGGAAACUGGGGAACUUGAGUGCAGAAGAGGAGAGUGGAAUUCCAUGUGUAGCGGUGAAAUGCGUAGAUAUAUGGAGGAACACCAGUGGCGAAGGCGACUCUCUGGUCUGUAACUGACGCUGAGGCUCGAAAGCGUGGGUAGCAAACAGGACUAGAUACCCUGGUAGUCCACGCCGUAAACGAUGAGUGCUAAGUGUUGGAGGGUUUCCGCCCUUCA